rnacentral:rRNA from 1 species
AUUGAACGCUGGCGGCAGGCCUAACACAUGCAAGUCGAGCGGCAGCGGGAAAGUAGCUUGCUACUUUUGCCGGCGAGCGGCGGACGGAUGAGUAAUGCCUGGGAAAUUGCCCAGUCGAGGGGGAUAACAGUUGGAAACGACUGCUAAUACCGCAUACGCCCUACGGGGGAAAGCAGGGGACCUUCGGGCCUUGCGCGAUUGGAUAUGCCCAGGUGGGAUUAGCUAGUUGGUGAGGUAAUGGCUCACCAAGGCGACGAUCCCUAGCUGGUCUGGGAGGAUGAUCAGCCACACUGGAACUGAGAUACGGUCCAGACUCCUACGGGAGGCAGCAGUGGGGAAUAUUGCACAAUGGGGGAAACCCUGAUGCAGUCAUGCCGCGUGUGUGAAGAAGGCCUUCGGGUUGUAAAGCACUUUCAGCGAGGAGGAAAGGUUGUUGGCUAAUAUCCAACAGCUGUGACGUUACUCGCAGAAGAAGCACCGGCUAACUCCGUGCCAGCCGCCGCCGUAAGAC